UACAGAGGGUGCAAGCGUUGUUCGGAAUUAUUGGGCGUAAAGAGCUCGUAGGCGGUCUGUCGCGUCUGCUGUGAAAACUCGGGGCUUAACCCCGGGCCUGCAGUGGGUACGGGCAGACUAGAGUGCGGUAGGGGAGACUGGAAUUCCUGGUGUAGCGGUGAAAUGCGCAGAUAUCAGGAGGAACACCGGUGGCGAAGGCGGGUCUCUGGGCCGUAACUGACGCUGAGGAGCGAAAGCGUGGGGAGCGAACAGG
rnacentral:rRNA from 1 species